GAAAGUGUUGUUGUAAAUUGGAUUAGUGGAAUAAUUGCUAUAUGAUGAGUUGUAGUUAGUUCAUGGAAGAGUUUAGAAAGGAUAAGCAAGUCAAUUCAUCUAUCUGAAUUAUAGUUGGAAAGAAUGUAAAUUAUUUUUAUUGUUGUUGUGAGGUAAUUAUCGGAGAUUAGUCACGAAUUUAGAGAUGUUGGACUCUUGAAGAUUUUUAUGGAAUUGAGCGUUAUUUGGAGAAUGAAAGAGCGUUCAAUGCUUAUGAAUUUUUCAGGGAAUGUGGAAUCUAGCUCCCGUGUGGUUUAAGGAUCAUGGUAAAAUAAGAGAUGCUUUUCGGAUGAGCUAUGGUGGAGAUUAUAUAGUGUUAUAGGGAAGAAAUGCAAUGGUGUUUUAAUGUAUUGUAUCGGAGAAUUGAUUGAUCAAUUCAUGUAAUUGUAUUUCUAUUUUGUGAUAUUGUUGUGGGCCCAUAACCCACAGGUGCAAGAUCAUUUUAUAGAUUAUAUUUCCGCUGCGAGUGAAUGUAAAUUCGAGGUUAUUAAUUGUUAAUUGAGAUUUAUAA